rnacentral:rRNA from 1 species
UACGUAUGGAGCAAGCGUUAUCCGGAUUUACUGGGUGUAAAGGGUGCGUAGGUGGCAGUGCAAGUCAGAUGUGAAAGGCCGGGGCUCAACCCCGGAGCUGCAUUUGAAACUGCGCGGCUAGAGUACAGGAGAGGUAGGCGGAAUUCCUAGUGUAGCGGUGAAAUGCGUAGAUAUUAGGAGGAACACCAGUGGCGAAGGCGGCCUGCUGGACUGUUACUGACACUGAGGCACGAAAGCGUGGGGAGCAAACAGG